AACAACUCAACUCAACUCUCUAUAUAUAAUACUCUAUUUUUAUUAAACAACAAACAACCAAUAUCUAUUUUUAAAAAUAACAACGAAGACAUAUCUUAAAUAAGGCUUAAUUUCUUGAGCGACUUCUUAAGCUUAGUCUUGAUCUAUUUCUUAAGCAUUAUCUUUUGAUUAAAAAAAAAGAUAAAAAUCAAACAUUAUAAAAAAAAAUUAAUCCAUACCUUAGAAAAAAUGAGAAGAAAAA
rnacentral:lncRNA from 1 species